rnacentral:lncRNA from 1 species
GACGGAAUAAAAACAAAUAGAACACUAGUAACAAUGCAUAAAAUAAAUAUAAACCUUAGGCAACAAUUAGUGUUUCCCGUUCAGCAGAAAAUAUUCGAGUGUUCGGAUAAUGGAGAGGAGCUCUCUUAUAUAGAAGGAAAAAGGCGGAAAAGAAAUGAAAGAUUGGAGUACGAUGAAAAGGAAAUGAAAAGCUGGAAAGGGGUCUCGGGCGAACAGGUGCAACGGGCGAAGUGGCUGUCGGCACUCGGCCGCGGGCUUGAGAAACUCGGCCGCGUGAUCGGCCAUGGAAGCUUCCAUUGUUCCCUAGAAAUAUUUUUCUUUAGUUGUUUUUGGAAAAGGAAUGGUGAUUAAUUUAUAGACAUGAGGAAGAAAAGAGAAGGGCACAUGACGGAGAGGCGUUGCAAACAAGAGAAGGGUAUUCACCGUUGAGAAAUAAUGGUUCACAGUUGGGCAGCACUGGGUGUGGGCUUGACCGGCAGACGACAUUUACGUGCCUUUUUCCUAUGCAUUUCCCCCCCUCUCUCUCUCUCAAAAACGGCAAAUUCUAUGCGCGAAUAAGAAAAAAGUGUUAGUAUUUCAUAUAUUUUCCUUUCACCAACUUGGACACCCAAAUUGUCAAACUUCAAGUCUUCAUUUUCAUCGCACCAUCAUCGACGGCGAUUCAGAUCUGGUGCCGUUGGCUACUUCUACCACCAAUCCAAUGCCUCUCCAUUUCACUUUAGCUUCACUUUUUCAUAGAUCCUGCUAUAAGAGCGGGUAGGGAACCAAAACACAAAUGCAAGACGACGCCAAAUCUGUGCUUUUCAAAACCAAAAAGCACGCAUCUUACCACCGACUUGUUUCUGGCAAGAAAGCUCCAUUGAUUUUGUGGAGAGAGAA